AGACCCGAAACCCGGUGAUCUAGCCAUGGGCAGGUUGAAGGUUGGGUAACACUAACUGGAGGACCGAACCGACUAAUGUUGAAAAAUUAGCGGAUGACCUGUGGCUGGGGGUGAAAGGCCAAUCAAACCGGGAGAUAGCUGGUUCUCCCCGAAAGCUAUUUAGGUAGCGCCUCGUGAAUUCAUCUCCGGGGGUAGAGCACUGUUUCGGCUAGGGGGCCAUCCCGGCUUACCAACCCGAUGCAAACUGCGAAUACCGGAGAAUGUUAUCACGGGAGACACACGGCGGGUGCUAACGUCCGUCGUGAAGAGGGAAACAACCCAGACCGCCAGCUAAGGUCCCAAAGUCAUGGUUAAGUGGGAAACGAUGUGGGAAGGCCCAGACAGCCAGGAUGUUGGCUUAGAAGCAGCCAUCAUUUAAAGAAAGCGUAAUAGCUCACUGGUCGAGUCGGCCUGCGCGGAAGAUGUAACGGGGCUAAACCAUGCACCGAAGCUGCGGCAGCGAACGUAUCACCCAAGACAACUUUACGGAGUUGACGAUUGACGGAGCGAAGCGACGUCAAAGCGUUCAUUAAAGUCGAGUUGGCUUAGGGAUACGUUCGUUGGGUAGGGGAGCGUUCUGUAAGCCUGUGAAGGUGUGUCGUGAGGCAUGCUGGAGGUAUCAGAAGUGCGAAUGCUGACAUAAGUAACGAUAAAGCGGGUGAAAAGCCCGCUCGCCGGAAGACCAAGGGUUCCUGUCCAACGUUAAUCGGGGCAGGGUGAGUCGACCCCUAAGGCGAGGCCGAAAGGCGUAGUCGAUGGGAAACGGGUUAAUAUUCCCGUACUUGGUGUUACUGCGAAGGGGGGACGGAGAAGGCUAUGUUGGCCGGGCGACGGUUGUCCCGGUUUAAGCGUGUAGGUGUGUGUUCCAGGUAAAUCCGGUUCACUUUAACACUGAGGCGUGACGACGAGGCACUACGGUGCUGAAGCAACAAAUGCCCUGCUUCCAGGAAAAGCCUCUAAGCAUCAGGUAACACGAAAUCGUACCCCAAACCGACACAGGUGGUCAGGUAGAGAAUACCAAGGCGCUUGAGAGAACUCGGGUGAAGGAACUAGGCAAAAUGGU
rnacentral:rRNA from 1 species